GACGAACGCUGGCGGCGUGCUUAACACAUGCAAGUCGAACGGUGAAGGGGAGCUUGCUCCCCGGAUCAGUGGCGAACGGGUGAGUAACACGUGGGCUACCUGCCCCAGACUUCGGGAUAACGCUUCGAAAGAGGUGCUAAUACCGGAUACGAACUCCUUGGGCAUCCUUGGGGUUGGAAAGUUUUUCGGUCUGGGAUGGGCCCGCGGCCUAUCAGCUUGUUGGUGAGGUAACGGCUCACCAAGGCGACGACGGGUAGCCGGCCUGAGAGGGCGACCGGCCACACUGGGACUGAGACACGGCCCAGACUCCUACGGGAGGCAGCAGUGGGGAAUAUUGCGCAAUGGGCGAAAGCCUGACGCAGCAACGCCGCGUGAGGGAUGACGGCCUUCGGGUUGUAAACCUCUUUCAGCAGGGAAGAAGCGAAAGUGACGGUACCUGCAGAAGAAGCACCGGCUAACUACGUGCCAGCCGCCGCAGUAAGAC
rnacentral:rRNA from 1 species